UGGCUGUUGGCGGCGUUGUAGCUGAGCUCAUGUGCGGCGGCGGUGUUGGCGGCAGCGGCGGCGGCAGCAGCGGCAGCAGCAAAGCCUUUAGCGCGAUGUCUCACACCAUUUUGCUGGUGCAGCCUACCAAGAGGCCAGAAGGCAGAACUUACGCUGACUAUGAAUCUGUGAAUGAAUGCAUGGAAGGUGUUUGUAAAAUGUAUGAAGAACAUCUGAAGAGAAUGAAUCCCAAUAGCCCCUCGAUCACGUAUGAUAUCAGUCAAUUGUUUGAUUUUAUCGACGAUCUGGCAGAUCUCAGCUGCCUUGUUUACCGAGCUGAUACCCAGACAUACCAGCCUUAUAACAAAGACUGGAUCAAAGAGAAGAUCUAAGUACUCCUUCGUCGGCAGGCCCAACAGGCUGGGAAAUAAUUGU